rnacentral:sRNA from 1 species
ACCUUCUCCUAGAGCCUAGCCCCAUGCUGGAUGCAGCAUCCAAAGCCAGAGAAGCCCCAGAGGCAGCUCCUGGGUGGGAUGAUCCCCAGGGGGAGGGCCGCAGGGGCAGAGGCGAGGGACUGUCCUGGGCAGUGGGUCCCCACGCGGAUCCAGGAGUCCUGAUGCAAGGGGAAGUUUGGGGCUCUGGAAGAUUCAGCCAUGCAGUCAUCCAGUUUGGCUUCGUCACCCUGUUUGUCGCCUCCUUCCCCCUGGCCCCACUGUUUGCGCUGCUGAACAACAUCAUCGAGAUCCGCCUGGACGCCAAAAAGUUUGUCACUGAGCUCCGAAGGCCGGUAGCUGUCAGAGCCAAAGACAUCGGAAUCUGGUACAAUAUCCUCAGAGGCAUUGGGAAGCUUGCUGUCAUCAUCAAUGCCUUCGUGAUCUCCUUCACGUCUGACUUCAUCCCGCGCCUGGUGUACCUCUACAUGUACAGUAAGAACGGGACCAUGCAUGGCUUCGUCAACCACACCCUCUCCUCCUUCAACGUCAGUGACUUCCAGAAUGGCACGGCCCCCAAUGACCCCCUGGACCUGGGCUACGAGGUGCAGAUCUGCAGGUAUAAAGACUACCGAGAGCCGCCGUGGUCGGAAAACAAGUACGACAUCUCCAAGGACUUCUGGGCCGUCCUGGCAGCCCGGCUGGCGUUUGUCAUCGUCUUCCAGAACCUGGUCAUGUUCAUGAGCGACUUUGUGGACUGGGUCAUCCCGGACAUCCCCAAGGACAUCAGCCAGCAGAUCCACAAGGAGAAGGUGCUCAUGGUGGAGCUGUUCAUGCGGGAGGAGCAAGACAAGCAGCAGCUGCUGGAAACCUGGAUGGAGAAGGAGCGGCAGAAGGACGAGCCGCCGUGCAACCACCACAACCCCAAAGCCUGCCCAGACAGCCUCGGCAGCCCAGCCCCCAGCCAUGCCUACCACGGGGGCGUCCUGUAGCUAUGCCAGCGGGGCUGGGCAGGCCAGCCGGGCAUCCCGACCGAUGGGCACCCUCUCCCAGG